rnacentral:rRNA from 1 species
UACGGGGGGGGCAAGCGUUGUUCGGAAUUACUGGGCGUAAAGGGCUCGUAGGUGGCCAACUAAGUCAGACGUGAAAUCCCUCGGCUUAACCGGGGAACUGCGUCUGAUACUGGAUGGCUUGAGUUUGGGAGAGGGAUGCGGAAUUCCAGGUGUAGCGGUGAAAUGCGUAGAUACCUGGAGGAACACCGGUGGCGAAGGCGGCAUCCUGGACCAACACUGACACUGAGGAGCGAAAGCCAGGGGAGCAAACGGG